rnacentral:rRNA from 1 species
AUACGGAGGGGACUAGCGUUGUUCGGAUUUACUGGGCGUAAAGCGCGCGUAGGCGGUUUGGAAAGUCAGAUGUGAAAUCCCAGGGCUCAACCCUGGAACUGCAUUUGAAACUAUCAGACUAGAGAUUGGGAGAGGUAAGUGGAAUUCCGAGUGUAGAGGUGAAAUUCGUAGAUAUUCGGAGGAACACCAGAGGCGAAGGCGACUUACUGGACCAAUACUGACGCUGAGGUGCGAAAGCGUGGGGAGCAAACAGGAUUAGAAACCCCGGUAGUCC